UACAGAGGGGGCAAGCGUUGUUCGGAAUUACUGGGCGUAAAGGGCGCGUAGGCGGCCUUCUAAGUCGAACGUGAAAUCCCCGGGCUCAACCCGGGAACUGCGUCCGAUACUGGAAGGCUUGAAUCCGGGAGAAGGAUGCGGAAUUCCAGGUGUAGCGGUGAAAUGCGUAGAUAUCUGGAGGAACACCGGUGGCGAAGGCGGCAUCCUGGACCGGCAUUGACGCUGAGGCGCGAAAGCCAGGGGAGCAAACGGG
rnacentral:rRNA from 1 species